rnacentral:tRNA from 1 species
UGGACUUUAGUUUAUAUGGCUAAAACACUGGAGGCAGACGAUAUUUAUAUUGGUCACCACCGGAGAAUAUGCGGUUCAAAUCCCAUUAGGUCCAU